rfam:Smittium culicis strain GSMNP scaffold-2197, whole genome shotgun sequence.
GGGGACUUAGCUCAGCUGGGAGAGCGUGCGACUGAAGAUCGUACGGUCCCGAGUUCAAUCCUCGGAGUCCCCA